AUUGAACGCUGGCGGCAUGCCUUACACAUGCAAGUCGAACGGCAGCACGGGAGCAAUCCUGGUGGCGAGUGGCGAACGGGUGAGUAAAGUAUCGGAACGUGCCCAGUCGUGGGGGAUAACGUAGCGAAAGUUAGGCUAAUACCGCAUACGAUCUAUGGAUGAAAGCGGGGGAUCGCAAGACCUCGCGCGAUUGGAGCGGCCGAUAUGAGAUUAGGUAGUUGGUGGGGUAAAGGCUCACCAAGCCGAGGAUCUGUAGCUGGUCUGAGAGGACGACCAGCCACACUGGGACUGAGACACGGCCCAGACUCCUACGGGAGGCAGCAGUGGGGAAUUUUGGACAAUGGGCGAAAGCCUGAUCCAGCCAUGCCGCGUGCAGGAUGAAGGCCUUCGGGUUGUAAACUGCUUUUGUACGGAACGAAAAGGUUUGGGCUAAUAAGCUGAGCUCAUGACGGUACCGUAAGAAUAAGCACCGGCUAACUACGUGCCAGCAGCCGCGGUAA
rnacentral:rRNA from 1 species